rnacentral:rRNA from 1 species
AUUGAACGCUGGCGGCGUGCCUAACACAUGCAAGUCGAGCGGUAACAGGUGUAGCAAUACAUGCUGACGAGCGGCGAACGGGUGAGUAAUGCUUCGGAAUCUGCCCAUGUAGUGGGGAAUAACCAGCCGAAAGGUUGGCUAAUACCGCAUACGACCCUUGCCCACAAGGCAAAGGUGAAUGCAGGGGAUCGCAAGACCUUGCGCUAUUGGAUGAGCCGAAGUCGGAUUAGCUAGUUGGUAGGGUAACGGCCUACCAAGGCGACGAUCCGUAGCUGGUCUGAGAGGACGACCAGCCACACUGGGACUGAGACACGGCCCAGACUCCUACGGGAGGCAGCAGUGGGGAAUAUUGGACAAUGGGCGCAAGCCUGAUCCAGCGAUGCCGCGUGUGUGAAGAAGGCCUGCGGGUUGUAAAGCACUUUCAGAAGGG